rnacentral:misc_RNA from 1 species
AAACCCUCAAAGUAAAUCUUUCGUUUGUUCGCUUGGUUUCAUUUUGGACUUGGAGGUCUUGCAGAUCCAUGUCUGCUCCUCUGAAAUGCAUUAGCUGGAUCUCUGUGAGCCUUGGUUCCACUCGGCGUGAUAAGUUAUCACUCGCUGAGGACACUGUAAAAAAUAAGAAAUAAAAAAGUGGCCAGGAUUGCAGAAGAACUGCUUCUAAUUGUUUAUCAGCUUGGA